rnacentral:rRNA from 1 species
UACGAAGGGGGCUAGCGUUGCUCGGAAUCACUGGGCGUAAAGCGCACGUAGGCGGCUUUCUAAGUCAGGGGUGAAAUCCUGGAGCUCAACUCCAGAACUGCCUUUGAUACUGGGAAGCUCGAGUCCGGGAGAGGUGAGUGGAACUGCGAGUGUAGAGGUGAAAUUCGUAGAUAUUCGCAAGAACACCAGUGGCGAAGGCGGCUCACUGGCCCGAUACUGACGCUGAGGCACGAAAGCGUGGGGAGCAAACAGG